rnacentral:rRNA from 1 species
UACGAAGGGGGCGAGCGUUGUUCGGAUUUACUGGGCGUAAAGGGCGCGUAGAGCGGCCCGAUCAAGUCAGGCGUGAAAGCCCCCGGGCUCAACCUGGGAAUUGCGCUUGGGACUGGUUGGCUUGAGUUCGGGAGAGGAGCGUGGAAUUCCCAGUGUAGAGGUGAAAUUCGUAGAUAUUGGGAAGAACACCGGUGGCGAAGGCGGCGCUCUGGACCGAGACUGACGCUGAGGCGCGAAAGCGUGGGGAGCAAACAGG